CCUACGGGGGGCAGCAGUGGGGAAUAUUGGACAAUGGGGGGAACCCUGAUCCAGCCAUGCCGCGUGUGUGAAGAAGGCCCUCGGGUUGUAAAGCACUUUCAGUGAGGAAGAACGCCUGGUGGUUAAUACCCAUCAGGAAAGACAUCACUCACAGAAGAAGCACCGGCUAACUCCGUGCCAGCAGCCGCGGUAAUACGGAGGGUGCGAGCGUUAAUCGGAAUUACUGGGCGUAAAGCGCGCGUAGGUGGCUUGAUAAGCCGGUUGUGAAAGCCCCGGGCUCAACCUGGGAACGGCAUCCGGAACUGUCAAGCUAGAGUGCAGGAGAGGAAGGUAGAAGUCCCGGUGUAGCGGUGAAAUGCGUAGAGAUCGGGAGGAAUACCAGUGGCGAAGGCGGCCUUCUGGACUGACACUGACACUGAGGUGCGAAAGCGUGGGUAGCAAACAGGAUUAGAGACCCCAGUAGUC
rnacentral:rRNA from 1 species